GCCCGGCUAGCUCAAUCGUAGGUAGCGUCUGAGUGGAUUUUCUAUUUCAUGUGCUGACCUCUAAUUAAGGGUAGAGCGUAAGACUCUUAAAAGUGACUAUCUUAAGGCUGCGAGUUCGAGCCUCGCGUUGGGCU
rnacentral:tRNA from 1 species